ACUGAAUAGCUUGCUAAUUGGUUUUCUAGUGGCGGACGGGUUAGUAACACGUGAGCAACCUGCCUCGAAGCGGGGGAUAGCCUUUCGAAAGGAAGAUUAAUACCGCAUGUGACCUACGGGUUAAAGGCGCCUUCGGGUGUCGCUUCGAGAUGGGCUCGCGGCCUAUCAGCUUGUUGGUGAGGUAACGGCUCACCAAGGCGACGACGGGUAGCUGGUCUGAGAGGACGAUCAGCAACACUGGAACUGAGACACGGUCCAGACACCUACGGGUGGCAGCAGUCGAGAAUCAUUCACAAUGGGGGCAACCCUGAUGGUGCAACGCCGCGUGGAGGAUGAAGGCCCUAGGGUCGUAAACUCCUGUCAUAUGAGAGUAAGGCAUAUGUGUUAAGAGCAUGUAUGUUUGAUAGUAUCAUAAGAGGAAGGGACGGCUAACUUCGUGCCAGCAGCCGCGGUAAUACGAUGGUCCCGAGCGUUAUUCGGAAUCACUGGGCGUAAAGAGUACGUAGGCGGUUUGGUAAGUCAGGUGUGAAAUCCCGGGGCUCAACCCCGGAACUGCAUCCGAUACUGCCAGACUGGAGUAAUGGAGGGGCAGGUGGAAUUCUCGGUGUAGCAGUGAAAUGCGUGGAUAUCGAGAGGAAGACCAAUGGCGAAGGCAGCCUGCUGGACAUUUACUGACGCUGAGGUACGAAGGCCAGGGUAGCGAAAGGGAUUAGAUACCCCUGUAGUCCUGGCAGUAAACGGUGCGCGCUUGGUGUGGGAGGACUCGACCCCUUCUGUGCCGGAGCUAACGCGUUAAGCGCG
rnacentral:rRNA from 1 species